rnacentral:misc_RNA from 1 species
ACGUCAACCUUUUCAAUGGUAUUCUCAUCUUCAAUGUCAGUUGUUCAGUACUACCUUAUCAAUCGUUUUCCAGUCCCGUAUGCUGCUUAUUUUGUUUUGAUUGCAACAAUUGCUGCCUUGGCCGGCCAGCACGUAGUCAGAAAGAUCAUUGCUCUUCUUGGAAGAGCAUCAAUAAUCAUCUUCAUACUGGCUUUGACAAUUUUUGUGAGCGCAAUCAGCUUAGGUGGAGUGGGAAUAGCAGACAUGGUUGAGAAGCUGGAGAAUGAAGAGUACAUGGGAUUUCAAAAUCUGUGUUACCAGUGACCAGGUUCAAUUGUAUCAGAAUAGCAGAGUGGGAUUUUUCUCAGCCGAUGACAGCUAAAUUAAUCCACCUGCUACAUUGUCUUCAAUUUCUCCAUUUAUUAAUUUCCAAGUAAAGAUACAUAUAUAAGUCAUUGAACAUUUCUUUAUUGUACGUACAAGUAUCAUCUAAAACUACCCCAGC